rnacentral:misc_RNA from 1 species
AGCAAUCAUUUGCUCAACCUCAAGGUCUGUUCUUUGUUUGAUUAAUUCCUGAUUCUCUACUAUGAACAAUGUCAUUAUUAAUCAUGGGCACUUGGUUUCGCAUACUGUGAAUUCUGGUUUUCUUAUUGUUUUCAUUCGUGUUUCCUUUUAGGCAAUUUGAAUUUUACUUAACAUUGAUAUGUGAGUUGCUUAUAGAAUGAAAUUUCUUUCUAUACAGUGGUUUAAUUUAUAAACAGUGGGAAUUUCACUUCAAUUAAGUGAAUUUCAGGAAAAUGUUAUCCUUUGCUGGCAAUGUGGUUAUGAUAUUAUGUCAAAGUGAUUCCUUUUUUUUCUUUUUUAAUGCCAUUGAUAUAUAUGUGCCAGAUGUUUUGAUGGGUCAAUUAUGAUAAUUAUUUUCUAGAUGGUGUUUUGGUAUGAUAGGAUUCACUACAGGUCAACUGCACAAGAGAAAACAAAACUCUCUUCAGUCUAGUUGUUCACAAAAGAGGCAUAAGAUCAAUUCACAUUGCUGCAAUUACAUUCAACUAAAUGGUAGAAAAGACUGAAAGAUAUCUCUUUUUUGCAUGCUUAUAAACAAGUUGAUAUCAUGUAUAACCUAAGUAACUCAUACUUGUUGCCUACAGAAGAAAAUCAGUUUCCCAGAAUAUUUUUUGAUGGUAAAUAUUUGUGGUAGACAUUAAUAUUUUAUCUUGAUUGGAAUAUGAAUUAUCAUAAUAUAGUUAUAUUAUUCAAUUUCC